AGAGUUUGAUCCUGGCUCAGAUUGAACGCUGGCGGCAUGCCUAACACAUGCAAGUCGAACGGCAGCACAGUGGUAGCAAUACCAUGGGUGGCGAGUGGCGGACGGGUGAGUAAUGCAUCGGGACCUACCUGAACGUGGGGGAUAACGUAGGGAAACUUACGCUAAUACCGCAUACGUCCUACGGGAGAAAGCGGGGGACCUUCGGGCCUCGCGCGGUCAGACGGACCGAUGUUCGAUUAGCUAGUUGGUAAGGUAAUGGCUUACCAAGGCGACGAUCGAUAGCUGGUCUGAGAGGAUGAUCAGCCACACUGGAACUGAGACACGGUCCAGACUCCUACGGGAGGCAGCAGUGGGGAAUAUUGGACAAUGGGCGCAAGCCUGAUCCAGCAAUGCCGCGUGUGUGAAGAAGGCCUUCGGGUUGUAAAGCACUUUUAUCAGGAACGAAAUACUACUGGUUAAUAACCGGUGGGGCUGACGGUACCUGAGGAAUAAGCACCGGCUAACUUCGUGCCAGCCGCCGCGGU
rnacentral:rRNA from 1 species